GACAGAGGGUGCAAACGUUGUUCGGAAUUACUGGGCGUAAAGCGUGUGUAGGCGGCUUGCCAAGUCGGAUGUGAAAGCCCCGGGCUCAACCUGGGAAGUGCACUCGAUACUGGCGAGCUAGAGUAUCGGAGAGGUUGGUGGAAUUCUCGGUGGAGAGGUGAAAUUCGUAGAUAUCGAGGGGAACACCAGUGGCGAAGGCGGCCAACUGGACGAAUACUGACGCUGAGACACGAAAGCGUGGGGAGCAAACAGG
rnacentral:rRNA from 1 species